rnacentral:sRNA from 1 species
AUAACCUCCCUAACCUCCAUAACCUCCCUAACCUCCAUAAUCCUGCACGUGUACUCGCCCUCUCUGCCCCACCUCUACCCAGUCCCCCACUCCUCCCCUUGGCUCUGACUGCUCUGCCCCCCAGGGGGCUACUGAGUCUCCCUCUUGCUUCCUUCUGGGGGGCGGUGCUUACAGCCAUCUUCUCCAGCUCCCUCUGGGGCCUGUGUUGCUGAGCCCAGGGCCAAGGAGCUGGCUGAGUGUCUCAAGCAGAGGCUGUUGAAGUACCAGGUAACUGCCACUCUAUGUCGCCACCCCACGGAGCUAUGAAGUGCACGUGGCUGAGGGAGCCGGCUGCAUGUGUUGCUGUCUGCCUGUGUCGAUCUCGUGUGUGAGGUCUGUGGCACACUCCUCAGCUAAAGUGGCUGCUGGCUUUCAUCCAUCUGUAUCUGACACAUCCAGGGCUCCAUGAAGAAGGAGUUCCCACAGAACCUGGGAGGCAGCGACACGUGCUACUUCUGCCAGAAGCGGGUCUACGUGAUGGAGAGGCUG